GAUGAACGCUGGCGGCGUGCCUAAUACAUGCAAGUCGAGCGAACGGACGAGAAGCUUGCUUCUCUGAUGUUAGCGGCGGACGAGUGAGUAACACGUGGAUAACCUACCUAUAAGACUGGGAUAACUUCGGGAAACCGGAGCUAAUACCGGAUAAUAUUUUGAACCGCAUGGUUCAAAAGUGAAAGACGGUCUUGCUGUCACUUAUAGAUGGAUCCGCGCUGCAUUAGCUAGUUGGUAAGGUAACGGCUUACCAAGGCAACGAUGCAUAGCCGACCUGAGAGGGUGAUCGGCCACACUGGAACUGAGAAACGGUCCAGACGCCUACGGGAGGCAGCAGUAGGGAAUCUGCCGCAAUGGGCGAAAGCCUGACGGAGCAACGCCGCGUGAGUGAUGAAGGUCUUCGGAUCGUAAAACUCUGUUAUUAGGGAAGAACAUAUGUGUAAGUAACUGUGCACAUCUUGACGGUACCUAAUCAGAAAGCCACGGCUAACUACGUG
rnacentral:rRNA from 1 species